rnacentral:lncRNA from 1 species
CUGCGCGAUGUGGACCUCGCACUCGGCGGAGCACGCGUCGAUAUCCUCGAGGCGGUGGGAGGCCGGCUCGAUGAGCCCCGAGUUUGCGAGCGCGCGGAGGAGGGUCUGCCCGGAGAGGCCGACGACCUCGCGGCGCGCGCCGUCGGGGUCGAUGGCGAGGACGCGCACGAUGCGGUCGGCGACCUUGGCGGAUGCGGCGGCGGGGGCCGGGGUGGCCGAUGCGGCGGCCGGGGAGACGGCACAGAAGGAGCGAGAGAGCGAAGGGGAGAGGUGGAGAGGGAGGCGGCGCAGGGCGCGCGCCGCGAUCGCCAUGGCCGCUGCUUGGGUAGGGUUCGGAUGGGAGAUCUGGGAAGAGGAAGGAGGUCGAUGGGGACCUGGGACUCGGAAGAGGGGUGGAGGCAG